rnacentral:lncRNA from 1 species
AACCCAAAGUUAGGGGCAGUCCAAAUCUGGGAAUAAUGUCUCUUAACAAUACCUUCAUCAACUCUCAUGCCUUCUCUGUCCUGACGGAGAAGGCCAUGACCCAUCCUGAAAAGGUACAGACAAGCACCAAAAUGUACCUAUAGACCCCUGCUUGGGGCAAUUCGGAGAAGUCCAUAAGCAGGUUUUCACAGGGCAUAGCUCCUUUUUCCUGAAUUCCCGGGGGCUGAGUGGGCCCUUUUCAGGGGUUGUUUUGGGCACAAGUUAAACGCUGUUUACAAAUGGCUCAAGUAAUAGCGGUGAGCCAUUGCACAUAGAAAUGACACCCUAAUCAUGUCUCUAGCACCGUUUUUCUCAUGUGAGUUCCUUGGAACUGUUUUGCAAAUCUGGGGGCCAAGAUUUCAGGUAUGGCUAGCCUCCCAUUGGAGAAUUUCCACCAUCUUCCUUCAACGUAAUUCCCAUUUUCCUGGGCAAAUCAAGCCCUUUUAUUUGGAGUGUAGCUUGGGGUCCCUGGAAGGGGAAUCUCCAGGAGGAGAGGCAUAGCUAAGGCUUCUUCUUUAGAAUAGAAGGUGGAGUUGCCAUUGCAGCUUGCUUUGCCUCUUUGUCUGCCUUUCUGUUUCCUUUAGCCUCUAAUGUUCCUGCCUUUUGCCUACAGUGCAUUACUGCUACCUGUUUGGGGGCCCAUACCACAUCCAGGAGCCGUAGAAUUUCUUCAUUACACUUUAUUUCUUUACCUCCAGGAGUUAAGAGUCUUUUUUCUUUGUAAAUAGCCCCAUGAACAUGCAAAGUGGCAAAAGCAUAUUUAGAGUCUGUGUAAAUAUUUGCCUUCUGGUCUUUUGCUAGCCAGAGAGCUCUUAUAAGACCUAUCAGCUUUGCUUUCUGAGAGGCAGUUCCUGUAGACAAAGACUGUGCCUCUACUGCUGAGUCCAAAGUCACCACUGCAUACCCAGUUUGGUGGACUCCCUCUAGUAUGAAGCUGCUCCCAUCAGUAAAAUAUUCAAUGUCCAGGUCUCCGAGGGGCCGAUCUGUCAGAUCUCUCUGGCUUGAGAACACUUCAUCUACCACAUCCACUCAGCAAUGAAGGGGGCUUCCUGGCACUGAUUCAAUGGGGAGCAAGGUAGCUGGGUUUAGGGUACUCACAGUCUCUAAAGUUACACAGGGAUUAUCACAUAGGAGCCCUUGGUAUUGAGUUAUUCUCGGAUUCGAAAACCAAUGGUGCCCCCUUUGGUCCAUCAAAGUUAUAACUGAGUGCAGUAGCUGGAUUGUCACUUGCUGUCCUAAAGUCAGCUUAUUAGCUUCCUGUGCCAGCCGAGCAGUGAUAGCUAGUGUCUUAAAACAAAGACUCCAUCCAGGUGCCACAGAAUUCAAUUGCCUGGAUAGGUAUGCCACCGGGUGAUGCCACAAUCCUAUGGCUUGAGUUAGAACUCUUACGGCCAUUCCCUUUUGCUCAUGGACAUAUAAAAAGAAAGGCUUAGUUAGAUCUGGCAGUCCUAAAGUUGGGGCCUGAGUCAAGGCUUCUUUGAUUUCCUUAAAGGCCUUCUCCUGGUCAGCCUCCCAGAGGAGGAGCUCCUUUUUCCCCUCUUUGUGGCUUCAUAUAAUGGCUUAGCCAUGAGCGAGAAAUUUGGGAUCCAGAUGCAGCAGGACCCUGCUGGCCCUAGGAACUCUCUUGUCACCGGGUGGUUGGAGUAGGAAGUGUACAAAUGGUCUGCUUCUGUUCACUACCAAGCCAUCUUUUCCUUUGGCUUAUAUAGAAGCCUAAAUACUGGUCACUUUCAGAGCAGAUUUGAGACUUGUUCCCUGACACUUUAUAUCCUGCCUUCCAUAGCAAGUGCAGGAGGUCUUGGGUCCCCUCGAAGCAGUCCUCUCAGGUCGGGGCUGCUAGAAGAAGAUCAUCAAUGUACUGGAGCAAGACACAGUCACUGUUUGGUGGGGUGUAUGCUUUAAGGUCUGAGGCCUGUGCCUCUUCAAAGAUUGUAGGAGAGUUUUUAAAUCCUUGUGGGAGUCUUGUCCAAGUGUACUGUGAUUUACCCCAUUGAAAAGCAAAAAUAGGCUCAUUAAUUGGUGCAAGCCAGAGACGGAAAAAUGUAUCCUUUAAAUCUAGGACUGUAAAUCAAGUGGCACUUGCUGGAAUAUGUCCCAUUAAAGUAUAUGGGUUUGGCACCACUGGGUGGAUGGUCACCGUGGCCUAGUUUUCCACACACAAAUUCUGUACUGGUCUAUAUUCACCAGACGGCUUCCGCACUGGCAAGAGAGGGGUGUUCCAUGGUGACUGGCAUUUGACUAUGAUUCCAUGUUUAUGAAGACUCUAAAUAUUUGCGGACACCCAGUAUGGCCUCAGGGAGUAGCAGGUACUGUUGGACCUGAACUGGAUUUUAACUCUACCACCACUGGUGCCUGACUUACAGCCAGUCCAGGUGGGUUACUAUCAGCCCAAACUCUGGGAAUUUUAGUAAGCAACCCAGGCAUUUCAUUUACUCUUGGUUCCAGAGUCUUUUUUGCAUAUAGCCUCUAUUCUUCAGCCUAUGGUACAGUACGGGUUAACAUCAUAGCCUCCGGGUGAGGUAGAUUUAAAGUUACAUUCCCUUGUGGCCCAAAUGUAAUCUGUACCUGCAGUUUUUGAAGUAGGUCUCUUCCCAGCAAAGGAACAGAACCAUUUGGGAUGAGAAUUCAGGUUGGACUUCUCAUCCUCCUAUAACACACCUCUUUGACCAACCGAUGGGCCUCUUUUCAGAGACUCCAGUGGCUCCCACAAUAGUUGCACAGUUCUUGGAUAGUGGCCCUAUAGGUUGGGUCACUACUGAGUGUUUAGCUCUGGUGUCUACCAUAAAGUCCAUUAGCUGGCCUCUAACUUCCAAUCUGGCCAUGGGCUUCUCAGGGCCCAAAGAGAAGCAGCCUGGUCUGUCCUAGUCCUCAUAUCCUUCAGCCCCUGCCAGUCUGAUCAGAUCAGUGCCUGGUUUCUCCUGGGUGUGGCAGCCCCUGGCUGGUGGCCUUCCUGUACGAUGGCCCUGACCCUUCUCCUUAUUAUUAUUCUCUGGACACUCAUCCUUCCAGUGUCCUUGUCUUUUGCACUGUGCACACUGAUCUCUUUCCAACCUGGGCCUGCUCUCAAAUCCCUGUCCAUACUGGCUUCUUCCAUGCCCACUUCCAUGCCCACAUCACGCCACCUUGCAAAGCCAGCUUCCCUCCCUGUGAGAGCUGCUGCCAGCCAAUCAGCCUUUUUCUUAAGCCUUUGAUUAGCCUCUGUCUUUGCCUCCUGAUCUCCGUUAAUGUACAACUUGUGGCCACUUCAAUAAACUGAAUAGCAUUCAUGCCUGCAAAACCUUCCAUUUUCUGCAAUUUUUGCCUGAUAUCCCCCUGGGCCUGCUCUACAAAUGCCGUGUUCAGCAUGUGCUGGCCUCACUAAGUCUUUUAUAAAACUGGCUGGGGCUUUCAUAUGCACCCUGAAGCACCUAUGAGAUUUUUCCCUAUAUUGAUUGCCUUUCUCCCGCCUUCCCUUAAACUUUGCAGGAGUGCCUUUUGGUAUCUGGGCAGCUGCUGUAGUUGGGCUGCCUCAUUUGGGUCCUAGUCGGGGUCCUCUUGUUUCCCAGAAAGGCAUUUGCAUAGCCCAAACAUGACCUGACUGGAGACAAGUUUGCUUUAUUUUCCUAGCAUUUCACCUUAACUUCCUGGAGUGAGGGCUCAGAUUUUUCCAUCUCAGAUUGAUAGUGAUUUAUAUAGUACACUUGUGCUGAAGCACUUUGGUGAACUAAGGUAGCGAUGAAGCUUUUUAUCAUUUGAAGAAGUACAGGUAGGAAACAAAGGAGCGCAACCCCAUGAGGUUGAUAAUACUAUGACCACCAAUGCCAUUUCAUUGGUGAGGAAGUUGAAGCAAAUAAAGUCCAAGUAACUUGUCCAACCCCACAUCAUUAUGUAGUGGUUUCUCAGAGACUUGAAUGAAGGGCAUCUGGAUCCAGAGUGCCAGCUCUUAACCACCAUGUUAUGCUGAGUCUUCUAUUUGAGCAAUGGAAUAAACUGUUCUCUGCAAUGACUACACUCACAUUUGUUGGAGCUAUGUGUGUUCAUUGACUGGAGCCAACUGUUGUGAAAUGGGUUGAAUUCUUGAUUUGAUUCUU